rnacentral:rRNA from 1 species
UACGUAGGGGACGAGCGUUGUCCGGAAUUACUGGGCGUAAAGGGCGCGCAGGCUGUAGAUCAAGUCAGCUGUGAAAUGUCUGGGCUUAACCCGGGCAUGCGGUUGAAACUGAUGUACUGGAGUGCUGUAGAGGCAAGUGGAAUUCCCAGUGUAGCGGUGAAAUGCGUAGAUAUUGGGAAGAACACCGGUGGCGAAGGCGAUUUGCUGGGCAGCAACUGACGCUGAGGCGCGAAAGCCAGGGGAGCAAACGGGAUUAGAUA